UACAGAGGGUGCAAGCGUUAAUCGGAAUUACUGGGCGUAAAGCGCGCGUAGGCGGCUGUCUAAGUCGGAUGUGAAAUCCCCGGGCUUAACCUGGGAACUGCAUUCGAUACUGGGCGGCUAGAGUAUGAGAGAGGGAGGUAGAAUUCCACGUGUAGCGGUGAAAUGCGUAGAUAUGUGGAGGAAUACCGGUGGCGAAGGCGGCCUCCUGGCUUAAUACUGACGCUGAGGUGCGAAAGCGUGGGGAGCAAACAGG
rnacentral:rRNA from 3 species